rnacentral:rRNA from 1 species
CACUCGUUAACGGCCGCGGUAUCCUCACCGUGCAAAGGUAGCGUAAUCAUUUGUCUUUUAAAUAGGGACUAGUAUGAAUGGUGUGACGAGGGCUUAACUGUCUCCUCUCUCCGGUCAAUGAAAUUGAUCUCCCCGUGCAGAAGCGGGGAUAAGCUCAUAAGACGAGAAGACCCUAUGGAGCUUUCGAUACUAAGGUUGACUAGAUUAAAUUACUUCACAACAAAGAACUACAAUCAUCACCACCCUACCCCUAUAUCUUCGGUUGGGGCGACAAUGGGGAACAAAAAUCCCCCAUGCGGAACGGGAGCAAAACCCUCAAAUAUCACUUUCACUAUCAAACUUCCUCCUCAAAUUAAGAGUGACAACUCUAAGUUACAGUACUUCUGACCACAAAUGAUCCGGCAAUGCCGAUUAACGAACCAAGUUACCCUAGGGAUAACAGCGCAAUCCCCUUUUAGAGCCCACAUCAACAAGGGGGUUUACGACCUCGAUGUUGGAUCAGGACAUCCUAAUGGUGAAACCGCUAUUAAGGGUUCGUUUGUUCAACGAUUAAAGUCCU